AGUGAACGCUGGCGGUAGGCCUAACACAUGCAAGUCGAACGGCAGCACAGUAAGAGCUUGCUCUUACGGGUGGCGAGUGGCGGACGGGUGAGGAAUACAUCGGAAUCUACUUUUUCGUGGGGGAUAACGUAGGGAAACUUACGCUAAUACCGCAUACGACCUACGGGUGAAAGCAGGGGAUCUUCGGACCUUGCGCGAUUGAAUGAGCCGAUGUCGGAUUAGCUAGUUGGCGGGGUAAAGGCCCACCAAGGCGACGAUCCGUAGCUGGUCUGAGAGGAUGAUCAGCCACACUGGAACUGAGACACGGUCCAGACUCCUACGGGAGGCAGCAGUGGGGAAUAUUGGACAAUGGGCGCAAGCCUGAUCCAGCCAUACCGCGUGGGCGAAGAAGGCCUUCGGGUUGUAAAGCCCUUCUGUUGGGAAAGAAAAGCAGCAGGUUAAUACCCCGCUGUUCUGACGGUACCCAAAGAAUAAGCACCGGCUAACUUCGUG
rnacentral:rRNA from 1 species